AGCGAACGCUGGCGGCAGGCUUAACACAUGCAAGUCGAGCGGGCGUCCUUGUGGUGUCAGCGGCAGACGGGUGAGUAACGCGUGGGAACGUGCCCUUCGGUUCGGAAUAACUCAGGGAAACUUGAGCUAAUACCGGAUACGUGCGAGAGCAGAAAGGUUUAUCUGCCGAAGGAUCGGCCCGCGUCUGAUUAGCUAGUUGGUGAGGUUAUGGCACACCAAGGCGACGAUCAGUAGCUGGUCUGAGAGGAUGAUCAGCCACACUGGGACUGAGACACGGCCCAGACUCCUACGGGAGGCAGCAGUGGGGAAUAUUGGACAAUGGGGGCAACCCUGAUCCAGCCAUGCCGCGUGAGUGAUGACGGCCUUAGGGUUGUAAAGCUCUUUUCUCCGGGACGAUAAUGACGGUACCGGAGGAAUAAGCCCCGGCUAACUUCGUG
rnacentral:rRNA from 1 species